GGUGAUGCGUGGGGCCUGAUCCGUUGUAGGUCAGUGAUGGGGUGACGCAGCAAGGUAGCCAAGCCGCUUAUUGGAUUGCGGUGCAAGCGUGUGGCACGACAGCAUGUCAAAUGCGGCUGUCAAUAGUGUGAGGCGUGAUGCGUAGCCCAUAUAUGGGUGAUGUUGGUGAUCCUCUACUGCCGAGAAAAGCCUCUAGCGAUGUGUGUAUACGGCCCGUACCCGAAACCGACACAGGUAGUCAAGUAGAGAAUACUCAGGCGGUCGGGAGAACUGUGGUUAAGGAACUCGGCAAAUUACCCCCGUAACUUCGGGAGAAGGGGGACCCAAACUGGUGCCCGAUCUAUGCGAUCGUGGUUGCUGGCGUGGGUCGCAGAGAAUAGAGGGGAGCGACUGUUUAUCAAAAACACAGGUCCGUGCGAAGACGAUGAAGUUGAUGUAUACGGACUGACGCCUGCCCGGUGCUGGAAGGUUAAGAGGACCUGUUAGGACAUUUUGU
rnacentral:rRNA from 1 species